GAUGAACGCUGGCGGCGUGCCUAAUACAUGCAAGUCGAGCGACCAGACGAGGAGCUUGCUCCUCUGACGUUAGCGGCGGACGGGUGAGUCACACGUGGAUAACCUACCUAUAAGACUGGGAUAACUUCGGGAAACCGGAUCUAAUACCGGAUCAUAUAUUGAACCGCAUGGUUCAAUAGUGAACGACGGUUUUGCUGUCCCUUUUAGAUGGUUCCGCGCCGCAUUAGCUAGUUGGUAGGGUAACGGCUUACCAAGGCUACGAUGCGUAGCCGACCUGAGAGGGUGAUCAGCCACACUGGAACUGAGACACGGUCCAGACUCCUACGGGAGGCAGCAGUAGGGAAUCUUCCGCAAUGGGCGAAAGCCUGACGGAGCAACGCCGCGUGAGUGAUGAAGGUCUUCGGAUCGUAAAACUCUGUUAUUAGGGAAGAACAAAUGUGUAAGUAACUAUGCACGUCUUGACGGUACCUAAUCAGAAAGCCACGGCUAACUACGUG
rnacentral:rRNA from 1 species